rnacentral:rRNA from 1 species
UAAUACGAAGGAUCCAAGCGUUGUCCGGAUUUACUGGGUUUAAAGGGUGCGUAGGCGGGGAAUUAAGUCAGUGGUGAAAGCUGGUAGCUCAACUAUCAAAUUGCCAUUGAAACUGAUUCUCUCGAGUACGGUUGAGGUAGCUGGAAUGUAACAUGUAGCGGUGAAAUGCUUAGAUAUGUUACAGAACACCGAUUGCGAAGGCAGGCUACUAAACCGUAACUGACGCUGAGGCACGAAAGCGUGGGGAUCAAACAGG